rnacentral:rRNA from 1 species
AACGAACGCUGGCGGCAUGCCUAACACAUGCAAGUCGAACGAGACCUUCGGGUCUAGUGGCGCACGGGUGCGUAACGCGUGGGAACCUGCCCUUAGGUUCGGAAUAACUCCCCGAAAGGGGUGCUAAUACCGGAUAAUGUCUUCGGACCAAAGAUUUAUCGCCUUUGGAUGGGCCCGCGUUGGAUUAGCUAGUUGGUAGGGUAAAAGCCUACCAAGGCGACGAUCCAUAGCUGGUCUGAGAGGAUGAUCAGCCACACUGGGACUGAGACACGGCCCAGACUACGACGGGCGGCAGAGGCGGGGUGAGUGAGAGAGGCGUGAGGAUUCUAAGCCUGCUUUGCCGGGGAAAUGAAGGAGACCAUAGGGAUGUAAAGCUCUGUUUCACGGGAUGCUAGUGGCAGCGGCGAGAGAAUAAGAUCGGACUAACUCCAUG